rnacentral:rRNA from 1 species
GAUGAACGCUGGCGGCGUGCUUAACACAUGCAAGUCGAACGGAGAACAUUCGCUGAUGCGAGCUUGCUCAAAUCUUGAGUGUUCUUAGUGGCGGACGGGUGAGUAACGCGUGGGUAACCUGCCCUAUACAGGGGGACAACAGUUGGAAACGACUGCUAAUACCGCAUAAGCGCACAGCAUCGCAUGAUGCAGUGUGAAAAACUGAGGUGGUAUAGGAUGGACCCGCGUCUGAUUAGCUAGUUGGUGAGGUAACGGCUCACCAAGGCGACGAUCAGUAGCCGGCCUGAGAGGGUGAACGGCCACAUUGGGACUGAGACACGGCCCAA